UACGUAGGGGGCAAGCGUUGUCCGGAAUCAUUGGGCGUAAAGCGCGUGUAUGCGGUUCGGUAAGUCUGCUGUGAAAGUCCAGGGCUCAACCCUGGGAUGCCGGUGGAUACUGUCGAACUAGAGUACGGAAGAGGCGAGUGGAAUUCCCGGUGUAGCGGUGAAAUGCGCAGAUAUUAGAAGGAACACCGGUGGCGAAGGCGACCAUCUGGACAGUAACUGACACUGAGGCGCGAAAGCGUGGGGAUCAAACAGG
rnacentral:rRNA from 1 species